GUGGGGAAUAUUGCACAAUGGGCGAAAGCCUGAUGCAGCGACGCCGCGUGAGCGAUGAAGUAUUUCGGUACGUAAAGCUCUAUCAGCAGGGAAGAUAAUGACGGUACCUGACUAAGAAGCACCGGCUAAAUACGUGCCAGCAGCCGCGGUAAUACGUAUGGUGCAAGCGUUAUCCGGAUUUACUGGGUGUAAAGGGAGCGUAGGCGGCGUGGUAAGUCAGAAGUGAAAGCCCGGGGCUCAACCCCGGGACUGCUUUUGAAACUAUCAUGCUAGAGUGUCGGAGAGGUAAGUGGAAUUCCUAGUGUAGCGGUGAAAUGCGUAGAUAUUAGGAGGAACACCAGUGGCGAAGGCGGCUUACUGGACUGUAACUGACGUUGAGGCUCGAAAGCGUGGGGAGCAAACAGGAUCAGAUACCCUAGUAGUCC
rnacentral:rRNA from 1 species